rnacentral:rRNA from 1 species
GAUGAACGCUGGCGGCGUGCCUAAUACAUGCAAGUCGAGCGAACAGACGAGGAGCUUGCUCCUCUGACGUUAGCGGCGGACGUGUGAGUAACACGUGGAUAACCUACCUAUAAGACUGGGAUAACUUCGGGAAACCGGAGCUAAUACCGGAUAAUAUAUUGAACCGCAUGGUUCAAUAGUGAAAGACGGUUUUGCUGUCACUUAUAGAUGGAUCCGCGCCGCAUUAGCUAGUUGGUAAGGUAACGGCUUACCAAGGCAACGAUGCGUAGCCGACCUGAGAGGGGGAUAGGCCACACUGGAACUGAGACACGGUCCAGACUACUACGGGAGGCAGCAGUAGGGAAUCUUACGCAAUGGGCGAAAGCCUGACGGAGCAACGCCGCGUGAGUGAUGAAGGUCUUCGGAUCGUAAAACUCUGUUAUUAGGGAAGAACAAAUGUGUAAGUAAAUAUGCACGUCUUGACGGUACCUAAUCAGAAAGCCACGGCUAACUACGUG